CUAGCUUGCUUUUCUCCCAUCAGCCUACCGACUUGAAAUUCAUUUUUAAAGCAUGGGGGUCCCCGUGUCCCCUCCCCCGCUGUGUCUGGUGUUUUGCUGUUCUAUAUUUUAGAAAGGUGGGGAGGAAGAAAGGGGGUUUGGGAGAUUUUCAAGGAUUGUGAUAAAGGGGAAAGUAAUUUUAGCAUUUUAGCUUUUCCCCAGUAAAAGAGAUUGAUGUCGGGAGGGGAGAGUGUUUGUUGGCAAUAUGUAGAGAAUGGAGUCAAAUGAGAUCACAGAAAGAAGACCGGAUAUGAGCAAAAAGGACCGACCGCACUGCCAAGAGGGGAGAAAGGUGGAUCCCUAGAAGACACGCUGGUAAGCCUGGUGAUGUUCCUCAGCUACAUUUGAAAAUGCUAACAUGUAUUGUGUCUUUCUGUUGAGAAGCGUUUCCACUUAUUGUUCGGCUAAGGCCCAUCAGGUGCAGCAGGAAGUCUGUUAGGAGCCCGCCAGUGGAGCACAGGUGAGUAAAAGGCAGCCUUAGUUGAGUUCAGGUGCUUUAUCCUCUGGCUGGGGAGGGGUAAAGUACUCAGGAGGUUGUAAGUCCAUGUCUUUAAAGCACUGCCUGUUAGAGGAUUUUGCAAGACUUGCUGGACAAUGUGGAUGCCUUAGUAGCAGGGAUCUCAACAGUGCCUGCCCUUAGCAGCUGUGAUACUCUUGGUAAGUUGCUUCACUUAUCUGUGCCUUACCUACACAACUGAGGUAGGACUAGUACAGCCUCGUAACGUGUGAACCAUGAGUGUGUGUAAAAGGCCCACACUUAGGAAGAAUUCCCCAGAUUGGAGCUGUUCCACUUGGUGGUAUUGCUGCUAAUAGUAGUCCACGCACAGAAGAGCAUUCUGGGCAAAGCAGACAGCUUGUGCAAAAGGACUCGAGACACAAGAGCCCAGUUGUUAAGGAGAAUGGUAGGGAACUGAGCAGAGACCUUGAAGUCCUUUUAAGGCCAAGUUACAGGGUUGGACCUUUUCGUUAAGGUCCUGGGAAGUUUUUACAGUGUUUUUGAAAAGUCAAGUAAUGACAUUCAGAUUUCACUUCAGGAAAUAAAGUACGUUGACCUUCCUAAGAACCCUGUGAAGCAAGUUCAGAAGGUGGACUCUCACCGUUUUUAGUAGAACAGACUGAGUAAGGCCUGGAGUUACAAAAAAUUACCAGCUUGAAAAUGUCCAAUUGAUUACAAAACCGUGCUCUAUUACACAUUUUGCCAUUUUUAAAUGAACAUGUGUUUUCUGAUGUCUUGGGUAGGAAAGUGGUGUUUAUAGUGAGACAAUAGGGGUUGAAUAGAUCCGUGCCAGAUUAGGUCUAUCACUCCAACCUUCUUUGAAAAUCUACUAUAUACUGUGUGCCGAGGAUGUUCUGUGCUAGGCUCUGAUACACCAAAUCAUGCAAGAUGCAGUCUUGGCCGGCACCGCGGCUCACUAGGCUAAUCCUCUGCCUGCAGCGCCGGCACACCAGGUUCUAGUCCCAGUUGGGGCACCGGAUUCUUUCCCGGUUGCUCCUCUUCCAGUUUAGCUCUGUUGUGGCCCGGGAAGGCAGUGGAGGAUGGCCCAAGUGCUUGGGCCCUGCACCCGCAUGGGAGACGAGGAGGAAGCACCUGGCUCUUGGUUUUGGAUCAGCGCAGCGCUGCGGCCUUAGCAGCCAUUUGGGGGUGAACCAACGGAAGGAAGACCUUUCUCUCUCUCUCUCUCUCUCUCUCUCUCUCUAACUGCCUGUCAAAAAAAAAAAAAAAGAUACAGUCUUCGUCUUUAAGAGUUACUGGAGGUCAUAAAGAUGUAUAAAGAUAAAGCAAAUCAUCCCUCAGGACCAAAUUUGAUGAAGUUUUCUAUUAAAUUCUUGUGAACUGCGUAGAAAAAAAAAUAAUACUAAGGAACUACUGCUAGGUGACUUCAGUACUCUUUGAUUAGUUGUAAUCCAAAUGUUAAUAAAACUGGAUUGGAGUCCUUGAACAAUUUCCAGAGGGUAUUGAUAUAUGUCAGAAUACUCUUUACUGCCCUCCUUUUGGACUCUAUCUUAAGCUUCUUUAUGUAAAAAUUUUGAGUACUGCCAAGAUGACGAAGUUACCCCCACAGCAGAUUCAGCAGACUUUGCAGUGUGCUGCGAAACCAGUCAGGAUAGAUAAUGCGAUAAAUGACAGCUGAGGAUCCGUGAACCUCUGUCUGCUGGAAAAAUAGACAAUGCCAACAAACUUAAUACAGGUAAAUGUUAAGUUUUUGGCUCUGAUUAAACUGAAAGAAACAGUACACACACUCAUGGAUGAUGCAGUCUUCUCACUCCACCCAAAAGCAGGUUGCCAGUGUGUUUUUUUUGUUGUUGGUUUUUGUUUUUUGUUUUUUGUUUUUUUUUUUUUUCAAAAAGCUUUAAAAUGUUCAUUGCCUUUCAGUUGUUACUAUUCCGCUUGGCAAACAAAUCCCAAGAAAGUAGCUGUUGUAAGUUUUGUUACCAAUAUAUUCAAUUCAGUAACAGGAGAGUUGAAAGAAAAGGUAGCAAAUAAACUAGAUUGAAACUACAGGAAUGGCUAAAUAAAAUGGACUAUCCACUUGGAAUAUUAUGCAACUAUUAAAAAUAAUAGCCAUUAAAUCUUUUAACUUUAUGACACAGUGUAUCUUUUAUGUUUAAUAUGAUACAAAAUUGUGCUGUAUUAUAAGGGUAUACCAAGACUAGAGCCAUGGCUCAAUAGGCUAAUCCUCCACCUAGCGGCGCCAGCACACCGGGGUUCUAGUCCCGGUGGUGGUGCCGGAUUCUUUCCCGGUUGCCCCUCUUCCAGGCCUGCUCUCUGCUGUGGCCCGGGAAGGCAUUGGAGGAUGGCCCGAGUGCUUGGGCCCUGCACCCCAUGGGAGACCAGGAGAAGCACCUGGCUCUUGCCUUCGGAUCAGCACGGUGUGCCGGCCGCAGCGCGCCAGCCAUGGCGGCCAUUGGAGGGUGAACCAACGGCAAAAGGAAGACCUUUCUCUCUGUCUCUCUCUCUCUCACUAUCCACUCUGCCUGUCAAAAAAAAAAAGGGGGGGGGGGUGUAUAACAAGAGACUAGUGAAAAUGUUAAAGUAGCUGCACCAAAAUAUUGAUUACAGUCUUAGUAAGGAGAUAAAAUGACAGGUUUUUCCUAUCUUUCCUCUAUUUCCCAAAUUUAUUACACAACUAUAUAAUCCUUCUAUUAUAGAUAAAGUAUUAAAAAUGUAUGUAAUUUAAUCUUCUAAUUCUGAGGAGUGGGUACAUGAUGUUAAUUAAAUUGUUCUCUACAAAAUUUUCACUAGCCCAGUGUGUCUCUUACUAUUCUAUGUGUUUAACAGUGAAUUUGUAUUAUACCAAGAAGGAUUCCAGUGUUGGGAAAGUUUGACAGCCACUGAGUAAACAUCUUUAAUUACAGCAGGUAUUUUUCAGAGCCUUUAGUAGUUAAAAGCAGGAUAUGUUAUGUACCAUGAGCCACAUCUUUAAACCACAGAACACUUUUCCUGUCUUAUCUUGUGGCAUUAUCAUCCUAGAACACUUGAGAAACGCCGUCAGUCGCCCGCUGUCUCUUUCCCUUUAGAACCUGUUCUCACAUUCUUCCCUAGUCUAAAGUCCCCAUCCCAGGCUUCUACCUUUCUUUCUUCUUACAGCCAUAAAAAGAAAGCACCCAGCACUAACCCUCUUCUGCAUAUUCUGAACUUCAUCCCCUGACACUUUCUGAGAAAUCCAGUUCUCUAUCGAGAAUCUUCUGACUCCCCUAGUCUCGUGGUUCCAGAUGGAAUGACAUGCACCUUGGCUCCAAGGCAGCGAACUGGCCCUGAAAUCACAGCACUCGUAUAUGGAGGAAGCUUGACAGAGACGUCCCCGAAUUUCACAGAAGUCCAGGAAGUUUACACAGCAUAACUAAUCAUGAGGUGCGAUGCAGACAUUUUGAACCGCUAAUAAAAAAGAAACUUUGAUUGACCAUG